UGGGGAAUUUUGGACAAUGGGCGCAAGCCUGAUCCAGCCAUGCCGCGUGUGGGAAGAAGGCCUUCGGGUUGUAAACCACUUUUGUCAGGGAAGAAACGGCUCUUACUAAUAUUAGGAGCUAAUGACGGUACCUGAAGAAUAAGCACCGGCUAACUACGUGCCAGCAGCCGCGGUAAUACGUAGGGUGCGAGCGUUAAUCGGAAUUACUGGGCGUAAAGCGUGCGCAGGCGGUUUUGCAAGACAGAUGUGAAAUCCCCGGGCUCAACCUGGGAACUGCAUUUGUGACUGCAAGGCUAGAGUACGGUAGAGGGGGAUGGAAUUCCGCGUGUAGCAGUGAAAUGCGUAGAUAUGCGGAGGAACACCGAUGGCGAAGGCAAUCCCCUGGACCUGUACUGACGCUCAUGCACGAAAGCGUGGGGAGCAAACAGGAUUAGAUACCCCAGUAGUCCCUGAG
rnacentral:rRNA from 1 species